CAUGUGCAUGUUCACAUUCUCCCAAGAAAGAAAGGAGACUUUUCAAGAAAUGAUAAUGUCUACGAAGAGCUCCAGAAGCAUGAUCAAGAGACACCUGAAGAAUCAUCCCAGUGGAGGACAGAGGAGGAGAUGGCAUCAGAGGCUGCUGACCUCAGAAAGUACUUCAUCUAGUUAACAACAGCUACACCAAGAAUCAAACCAGGAAUAUGGAGAAUUUGGAAGGUUAAAUCAGUGCUUUUCCUGAAUUGUGUGUGGACUCGUCACAACUACAACUGAUCAAACACUACUCGAAAACCAGAUUUCCGGGGCAUCAACUAAUCAUUUAUCUAAUCAACCUUAAAACCAGAGGUUCUUGCAAAGCUUUGGCAAUGUACCUUAUUAAGUGUGACUCUUCCAUGUUGUACUGAAGUGCAUAACCUAAUUUCUUUAUUAAUUCUGAUUUAGUUAUUUUGAUUAGUAUGUAGAUUUUCAUUCAGUGGAAACUGUUUCAUUCAAUAUGUUAAUGUUCUUGAAUGCUAUUAAAGAAUUCUCUAAAAAUGUAACAAUUGUCAAAUGAGCUUUGAUUUAGGUUUUGUAAUUAUGACAUUGAGAAAUGAGUGUCAUGCAAAAAAACUGCUAUUAUAAUGGCUACGUUUUCCACUUUUUACUCAAGAUUGUGAAAAUGUAAAUACGAGUAAAAAUUGUGGAGCAUUUUAUUCUCAUAACUACUUAUUUGGUAAAAAUAUCUAAUGGAGGAAGGCAUCCAGUCAGCUGAUUAAAUCAUCAACCUCACAGUAUACUUGGAUAUGAACAUAGUGAAAAGUCACACAAGGCAUUUUGGGAACAUUUUAUGACUUCCACUUAAAAUUAGUUCUGUUUGAUAAAUGGCACAACUCUUAAGGCAGACCUUAAACUUUUCAAAUCAUCUGAAAGGAACUUUUUUGUUUCUUUAUUUUUCAGUAAUUUUAUCCAUUGAAAUUUAAUUGACCAAUAACAGUUAAUGUUUUCUUUUGAUCUUUUUAACUUACAUGGACUUUAAAGAUUUCUUAAACUUACUGUCAAAUGGUAAUACAUUUUAGUGUUUUAGAAUGCUUUGGAUGACAAGAGCAUUGGACAACAUCCUCUCCUUAGGUGAUCCCUCAGGCUCACAGAUGACUUGCUUCCACUCUUAUUUGAUGGCUUCAGAGAUGGCUUAUAAGUCCAAUGUGCAAUCUGCUGAGGGACAGGAGUUGCUGGAAGACUUGGGUAGCUGGUUUGUUUGGUUUAUGCGCAUCCUUAACCACCUUCACUUUACCUCUGCACAUUCCCAUUGAAGUCUGUCAAUGUGUUCGGUGUCUUUCUGAAGGAGCCUUCUCCAUUGGUUACAAAUUGGGGCCUCGAAUCAGUCGGAGGUAUUGUUGACCUAUUCAGGGAUGCUUUGAGGGCAUUCCUAAAAUGUUUCCGUUAUCGUCCUGAGAGUUUCCUACAGUGUCCAAGUGAACCAUUUGUUUCUGGAGGUUGGUGUGUGGCACAUGAACAGCAUGUCCAUCCAGCAGAGCUGGUUUUUAAGUUGUUAGAACAUUGUUGCUGAAUGACUUAGUCUGGGAAAGGAAAAUUUUGGACCACUUUACUUGCCACUAGAUUUGGAGAAUUCUUCUCCAGUGUUAAGGUGCCCACUGAAGGUUGGCCAAAUCUCCAAAGCAUAGAAGAGCAUGGUAAUCACUGCUGCCUGGUAAACUAUGGCUUUUGUGUGGAUUUGAGAUUCAGAUCCUCAAAAACUUUUUUUUUCCUCAGUUGGUUGAAAGCUGAGCUGACUCUUCUGAGACGGUGAUGAUUUCUUUGUCUCUGCCUGCCUGCCUGCCUUGAGAAGGUUCCUAGCGAUGGAAAAUUGGCCAUUUCCCAGGAUCUUGCCAUUGAAUUUAAUCACUGCAAUAUUGCAACUCACCUCCAGCAAAUUACCUGCAGGCAAGGUGAUAACCUGCAGAGCUGACAGGAAACUGUCCAAUCAAAGCCACCUUCAAUCUGAAACCAAAACAUCUCUAACAUCUGUCACUCAGUGUCAGUUUGUAUCUGAUGACUGUGUGUGGGCUCAAACAGAAACUGAGCUCCAGGUCAUUGUUGACUCUUUCCAUGCAAGAUAGAGAAAAAAGGGACCUUUCGCUGAACAGUCAUAAAACUAAGAUCCCCUUCCAUCCAGCUCCUGGAGCAAAACCACUGCUCUAUCAAUUAAACAUCCACUAACUCCUACAUGAAUAGGUAAAAAAUAGUUGCACAGUAUUCAACACAACAGCAAAAACCAUAAAGUAAAUCAAUCUAUUUCCUGGCACAUGGAAUGUCAUCCAACCUAAUUUGAUCUGAUCAUUGUUGUGCUGAUCAUUACUUCUCUUAUCCUGAUCCUCCCUGUUGUCGUCACUAUUUUUAUGUUGUUCACAAUCUAGUGAAUGAUUCAUGUUAUCUGUUUCUGCAUGUCAAUGCUCACAGCCACCAUCCACUUCGCUAAAACUUGACUGCAGAUCACACAUUCUGGAUUUGCACUCCAAUCACAGUGGAUAGAUCAAAGUAGCUAAGCUGAGAGCCUUUGUAUCAACUCAAAUGAAGCAUAAGCAAUCACUCAUUAUAUUUAUUCCUUAAGAAUAAUUGUAAUGGUGAAUUCAGUUCAUAAUGGAGUUUACAAUAUUUACAGUGACAGAAGAGAAACAAAAUCUGUAAAUAUUCAACUUUUCAGACAUGAAAAUCUAACAAUGAAUUACAUUUGCAAGACCUCUAACUCGCUUAAGUCUCCAUCACAGGCUUUUUCUUUUCCAAUUUUGAGCUGUUCCUUUCUGAUCUAGCAUGUUCCUCAUUUCUCAGUAAUUGUAAAGGCAGUAAUGUUGCUGUCACAUGAAUGCUGAUUCGAACAUUUCGUGGUCUUUUAAAGGUGCAUUGUCAUCUGGAUUGCAAGCCGAUAGCCAGGCAUUUUCAUUCUUCAGUGAAACAGCAGUGUUUAUCACUAAUAUUGAAGAAUGCUAUCUUUAAAGAUCCUGCAAUCUCUGUAAUACUGACUUACCUUCCCAAAACAAAAUGCAGAAGGUUGAGCAAUAUCUGUAGAGAGAGAAACAGAGUUAACAUUUCAGGAGCAAUUACAGAAAACACUAAGUUUUGCCAUCAUUAUUACCACAAAAUCCAGGCCAGUAAUUUUUUGCGUUAACUAACUACGCACUGAGGAGUACGUGGUAAAAUGGUUCACAUCCAAAACUCUUUCCAAUAAUUCUAUCCCUGGAUAUUGAUGUUUUCACAUAAUGACAGACUAUGUUAAACUCUGUUUUGUUAUUCCAGAUAAAUUAGGUUCAAACUCCCAAUAUAAACAAAAUUGGCACUUUUCUUCCUCUUUUCAACAGUAUAACAGCACCCAAUUACACUGUUUCUUCUUUAUUUUUCUAUGAAUUAUGAGACAACACUGGCAAGAAUAACAUUUGUUGUUCAUCCCUAAUUGUGCAUGAACGGAAUACAUUGCCAGGCCAUUUCAGAUGCCAGUUAAGAAUCUACUUGAAGAAAUCAGUCAUGUGGGCCUGGUGUCACAUGUAGGCCAGACUACAGGUUAAAAACAGCAGAUUUAUUUCCUUAAAGAACAUUAGGGAUUCAGAUAGGUUUUACAAUGGUCAAUGAGAGUUGUCAUGAUCAGUGUUACUGAUAAUAGCGUUAUAUUCCAGAAUUAUUACUUGAAUUUAAAUUCCAUCAGCUAUCAUGGUGGUUUUUGAACAAUCAUUGUUCAAAUGGUUCAUUAAACCAUUUAAAUGAUCCAUUAAAUCAUUGUUCUUAAAGAGGCAUUAGUCUGGCCUCUGGAUUCCUAAUCCGCUGAUAAUACCAUUACACCACCAUCUCCAAGACUGACAGUUUAGAUAUCAGUCAAGUGUAGUGUUGAACAAUUUCAAGAUUAUCAGUUUUUCAGUCAAAUCAAUGUUUGUCCAUGAACUAAAUGUCUCUGUUGCAUAUUGUUUUGAUCUAUCAAAAAUAGUUCUUCUGUCAGGCUUGACAAAUGAAUAAA